GGUUCCAUAGGGUAGGGGUUAGCACGUCUGCUUUACACACAGAUGGUCCUGGGUUCAUGCCCCAGUGGAGCCA
rnacentral:tRNA from 1 species